rnacentral:rRNA from 1 species
AUGGUCCUACGGGACGCAGCAGUGGGGAAUAUUGCACAAUGGGGGAAACCCUGAUGCAGCGACGCCGCGUGAGCGAAGAAGUAUUUCGGUAUGUAAAGCUCUAUCAGCAGGGAAGAAAAAUGACGGUACCUGAGUAAGAAGCACCGGCUAAAUACGUGCCAGCAGCCGCGGUCAUACGUAUGGCGCAAGCGUUAUCCGGAUUUACUGGGUGUACAGGGAGUGCAGGCGGUGCGGUAAGUCUGAUGUGUUAGCUCGGGGCUCAACCCCGG